AGGGGGGUGGGUGUUGAGGGAGUCUGGGCAGUCCGUGGGGAACCCCCUUUUUCGGUUCGGACUUGGGUAGCGAUCGAGGGAUGGUAUCGGAUAUCGGCACGAGGAAUGACCGACCGUCCGGCCGCCGGGAUUUUCGCCGGAAAACUUUUCCGGCGACUUUUCCGGCGAUCGGUUUUGUUGCCUUUUUCCGAGUUUUCUCAGCAGUUCUCGGACAAAAACUGCUGAAUCGUCGAGGAGAAUGGGCUUGCCUUGCGUGGGCUGCCAUUAGUUCUUCGAGGCGUUAGGGUGGCGGCGGUAUAAAAGUGUCGGAGUUUUUUCAGCAGUUCUCGGACAAAAAUUGCUGAGUGGCCGAGAAGAAUGGGCGUGUCAUGCGUGGGCUGACAUGGAUUCUUCGAGGCCUAGGGGUGGCGGUAUAUAACUUGUUCGCAUGAUAUUACCGAGAUGUCCCCACGGGCAUCUUUUCACCUCGUCGCCGAAGAGAAUGGGCGUGUCAUGGCAUGGGCUGACAUGGAUUCUCCUAGGCCGUUUGGGUGGCGGUAUAGUCGUCUUGCGCACGAAAUACCGAGAUGUCCCCAUGGGCAUCGAUUCCACCCGCCUAGGUUGGAUGGGCGUGCUUCGUUGGAAAGCAUGGAUCCGCCUAGGCUGUCCCGAGUGUGAGCGAGGUGUGAGUGUCGCCCAUGGGCAUCGACACCUUGCGGCUAGGAACUGGAACGAGACGGGUGGCAAAGAUUUCGAGUAGCACUUCAUACUACCGUGGGUUUUUUAAACCUUCCGAGUUUUGUUGAUGUUAUUCCGAGAAUUAGCAAACCGUAACGAAGAUGUUCUUGGCAACCAUCUUUUGAUGGGAGUCCGGCUGUUCGAUAGCCGGCCAAGGGUGAUGAACGAAAUGUGAACCCUUGUCUCGCCUAGGUUGGAUGGGCGUGCUUCGUUGGAAAGCAUGGAUCCGCCUAGGCUGUCCCGAAGGUAUCUCGCGCUUGUACGGCUUUGGCUCGGAUUCGUCCGUCUUCUUUCUUCUUAGCCGAGUACUUCGGUAGAUUAGUUGGAACGAUUGAUGAUUUUGAGUUAAUUGAACGUUCGGCGUAUGAGUGGUGAUCGGAUAGCUAGUGUUCGUAGGCUCCAUGCUCGCGCAUCGAACUACCUACCACCUAUCCUUCUCAGUUAAUUCACGGGCGAUGUUACGCUCGAUGAUGAGUUCCGGGGCCUGUGUUUCGUACCUAAUUUGAAGGAAUUGUUGAGUUUGGUUUACACCUUUGCCCGCGGCUUCUCCUUCGUGGGGAAGUCGUGGGCACAAACAUCGGCGCUUGUUCACCUCUCGUCAUCGCAUUUGUUGCCUUGCUCGCAUUGGUGAAUGAGUUGCGGGUUGAAAUCUCGGAUGCGGAAAAGUUGUCGACGGUGACUCGAAGUGAUUCAGUCCCGCCAAAGCUCAUCCGUCCUUCGGGCAAAAGAUGACGGUCAAGACCUCGUCCUUUCUCUCUUUCCAUUGCGUUUGAGAGGAUGUGGCGGGGAAUUGCCGUGAUCGAUGAAUGCUACCUGGUUGAUCCUGCCAGUAGUCAUAUGCUUGUCUCAAAGAUUAAGCCAUGCAUGUGUAAGUAUGAACGAAUUCAGACUGUGAAACUGCGAAUGGCUCAUUAAAUCAGUUAUAGUUUGUUUGAUGGUAACUACUACUCGGAUAACCGUAGUAAUUCUAGAGCUAAUACGUGCAACAAACCCCGACUUAUGGAAGGGACGCAUUUAUUAGAUAAAAGGUCGACGCGGGCUCUGCCCGUUGCUCUGAUGAUUCAUGAUAACUCGACGGAUCGCAUGGCCUCUGUGCUGGCGACGCAUCAUUCAAAUUUCU
rnacentral:misc_RNA from 1 species